ensembl:lncRNA
AUUGAUUCAACAGUAGUAUAUGUGGCCUCAUAUAUGUAGCCUAAAAACGUUUUCCCAUAUCUAAUUGGUGAAAUAAGGUGAGUAUCAUGUCAUUGUGUCAAUAUGCUGUACUUUUUGUUUCAUGAAAAUUAUUCUAUUUAUACCAAACUAGUUUUUAAUGUAAAAUAUAUUUAGCUAAAACACAGAAAAUGAUACUGACAUAUUCAGUCUCAAGUUUGGUUUUUACUGUAUGGCAUUAUGGCAUUGUUAUUGUACCAGCUUGUUUACAGUUACAUUACAAAAUCCACAUUUUGCCUAUAAUAUUGCAUAUUAACUUUUUUGUCCACUUUCACUUGAUUUUCACUUGAGAGUUUUAUUUGCUCUCAUGAUCGUGAUAAAAAACGACCAAGUUUUUUAGAGGACGACCACAAUCAUUGCUCAUUGCUUGGAUCGCAUAAUCUGGUCCCUGUCAGCGUGUGUGAUGGGGAAGGGGUGAGCUGACAGUGAAGCCCAGCCACGGGGAAGGGGUGAGCUGGCAGUGAGGCCCAGCCAUGGGGAAGGGAUGAGCUGGAAGUGAGGCCCAGCCAUGGGGAAGGGGUGAGCUGGCAGUGAGGCCCAGCCAUGGGGAAGGGGUGAGCUGGCACUAGACAGAAGGCCUUAUGUAGGUGCAAUGAUCAGUGGGAAUGGAAAACAGGUAUAUGUGAUGAACAGGGACAGUCCGGGGUGAAGGUGAUUAGCCUGUACAGUCAUGCCUAGUAGGCCAGAGACGUAGUCCGUGAGCUGGUGCACCAGGGGGAUUUGUGACACAGCAGUCAAACCAUCUUUCUUUUCUGAUUGGAAGGUGUUGUCUCAGGAAACAAGACACCAUAAAACAGGUCAAACAUGAUCUUUAAUUAAGCAGGUUUUGCAUGAGCGCAGUUUCAAAUGUUCUUUUAAUAAUCUUAAUAAUAAUAAGUUUUAUAUCACUUUUGGUUUAAAAUCAAACAAUUGCUGUUUGGUUUAAGUGCAAACUGCCAGCUUUAAUUUCAUGUAAUUGUAUCCACAUUAGAUGAAUCAUUUAGAAAUUGCAGCAAGUUUUGAAUAAAGUGACACAAUUUUACGUUAUUUGGCUUCAAUUGUUCAUCCAUAAGAGAGCUUUCAUUGACGAGUCUUGAGUCUAGGCUUUGCAUUUGGAGUCUGAUGUCGGUGUCUUGAAACAUGAGGACCAAAAUAAAUGUCAGUCUAAGUAAACCUGUCAAUCUUGAAGUAAAUCUGAAUAAAUCAGACACAUUGCCAAGGCAUUAGAAAGUCCAAAAUCACAUAUGGUACAUUAAGAAGAAGAUAGUAAGCACUGGUGAGCUUAGUAAUGGCACAAAUAAUGAAGCCAAAAGAACUUGAACAUUCUACAGGUGGUUGGAACAGAUAUGUGAAGGUUUACAGUAUGCACAGGAGAAACACCAGCAAAACAUUAGAUGUGGCAGGACCCAAGGUAAUAUAUUUUUUGUAAUUGUUUUAUAAGUUUGUUAGGUGGUAACCAGUAGGGGGUGAAUGAUUAUGUGUAUUAUGUAUUGAAUUGUAUUCUACAUGUUGUUUAAGUUUCUAUAGUCAUGUGAGAAUAUGGUGAGAACACCUACUCGCUGAACCAUUCAAUUUAGUAGACCGGGAACACAGUAUAAAGGGCGCCAGUUUCCAGCUGCCUGUGUUGUUGGUUACGUCUCACUUCCUUGGUUGCUACCUAUCGGUAUGUACAAUUGAUGUUUGAAUAAAAAUCAGCAUGAUUUGGUAUACCACACCAUUGCUUUGGCCUCUUUGUUUACUGCAUCAUCCAGCCGCUAAAGGGUCAUUCUAACAGUAACUAAUGUUAUUCUGUCCAAAUACAUUUGUACUUUAACAUGGGGUAUAAUUGCAUGUCACUUUGGGGACAAAAAUGUAUACUAAAUUUGAGCGUCAAUACCCAAGAGGAUAGUAUUUGGCCAAAAUACCAUUGCUAAGGGCUUUUCUUAGGCACAAUGAAUGCACAUCACUUUGUGAUGCAUGAGACUUAAGGCUCACCUCUUUCUGCUAAACGGGCCGAGAAGAUAAAUAUCUGCAGAUCAGUGUCUGAUGAGAGACCUUUUCUUGUAAACAAGUUCCUCUUUCAUUGAAUAAGAUGAUGUUUACUGUAGUAGCUCUUAGGUCAAAAGGGUGAGCAAAACCACACUUAAAAAACCACAACUGAGCCAAAAAAGGGAUGUGGGCGACAUCUGAAAACUUUCCCAACAGAGAGAGAUCAGGGUGGUUACAAUGAGAGUUGUUAUUGCUCUCACGAUAGAGAGAAUAAAUGACCAAGUGUAUUGUUGUUUAAAUAAAAUAUGCAAUAUAAUAAUGUUUCAUGUAGAAAAGUAAAACUAAAUUAGUCAGUGCUGCAGCAAAAUGUGUGAUAAGCCAGAGACACAUCUUGUCCAGUUUGCUAGGUACCAUUCAUUGCAAUGGACCCCAUUCAGGUGCUGGAGACCCUUCUGCAGUGCAUGGGUCCAAUCUGCAGGGCAUGGAUCCCUUCUGCAGGGCAUGGAUCCCUUUUGCAGGGCACAGUCCCCUGAUGUAGUGCCUGAAUCCCUUCUGCAGGGCAUGGAUCCCUGCCCAAAGUCAGAUGACAACCAGGAACCACGGAGUCAUGUGCUUAUAGAGGAUGACCACAAUCAUUGCUCAUUGCUUGGAUCGCAUAAUCUGGUCCCUGUCAGCGUGUGUGAUGGGGAAGUGGUGAGCUGACAGUGAAGCCCAGCCACGGGGAAGGGGUGAGCUGGCAGUGAGGCCCAGCCAUGGGGAAGGGAUGAGCUGGCACUGAGGCCCAGCCAUGGGGAAGGGUUGAGCUGACGGUGAAGCCCAGCCAUGGGGAAGGGUUGAGCUGACGGUGAAGCCCAGCCAUGGGGAAGGGUUGAGCUGACGGUGAAGCCCAGCCAUGGGGAAGGGUUGAGCUGACGGUGAAGCCCAGCCAUGGGGAAGGGUUGAGCUGACGGUGAAGCCCAGCCAUGGGGAGGUGGGGAGCUGGCAGUUCAAUUAAAAUAUGUUGAACUGGUUCAAAUCGUUCACUCAUAAGUGUAAUGAUUGUUGUGGGAAAUACCUCUAGUGGACCCAAGCAACUAAACUCAGGGUGUAAUGCAGGUAUCAGGACUGAGGCAAGGCCGGGGGGGGUGAGGGCUGGGCUGGUAGGCGGGGUAGUAGGGUUGGCCAGAGGGGUAAGGCAGACAGGGCGGCGGGGAUGGCAGGCAGCAUGGGCAGAGCAGGUAGGCUGGCGGGCAGGCAGGAGGACGAGGUUGUAGGCAUGAUGUGGUGGAUCUCUGAACAGAGGAGAAUAACAUUAGCAAGGACAAUCACUCAAACAGGUUGACUCUGAAAUAAAGCGCAGAUCGGCCGCAAGCGUUACUAUCAGGUAGUGAAUAAGCUAAGAACUAUUAAGCAAAUUAGCAGUAAUUUACUUAACAGUAAAUUAGCUUAUUCACUCAGUAUAGCCUAGUGUACACUUUAUACAGUCGACAAGAACUCCUGGAAAUUGCACAGAAAGAGUUUUUGACAACUUCCAACUUCCACCGGAGAUUAAGAAGAUGCUCCAGGAGAUGCCAUUUGCAUCGCUGACUGGAAGUGUCUGGAGGUGGCAUCGAAAUCGUAACAAAGGCGUGGGAAGCGUGGAGGCAUCCCAGCUAGGCUAAUGCUAGCCCCCCAACAGCCUUCACUACCUAGCCUUUUCCUCGUUAACGUACAGUCACUGGUGAACAAAAUGGAUGAAAUACGACAGAAUCAUCUAACAAAAAUGUAUUUUGGAUUGCAGCAUCAUGAUUUUCUUGGAAAUGUGGCUUAACAACAACAUACUCAACAACGUAAUUGAGCUGGAAGGGCGCGAUGUCUUCAGAGCAGAUCGGACUGAAGUGGACUCCGGUAAGACCGGAGUAGGUAGGCUGGGCAUUUAUGUAAACAAAACAUGGUGUACAAACACUAACUUAACUGGAGUCACUGCUCAACCAGUCUGGAGUACCUGAUGAUUAGUUGCAGGCCUUUUUACUUGCCUCAGGACUUUACAUCAAUUGUUGGUACGGCAGUCUACAUACCCCCAGAUGCUAAUGCUACACUAGCAAUGAAUGAACUGCAUGCAGCUAUUAGCAAACAGCAGACAGAAGACCCGGAUGGGGUUUUUCUGAUUGCAGGGGAUUUCAACCAUUCAAAUCUGAAAAAUGUUUUUCCCAAAUUCCACCAAAAUGUCUCCUGCCCCACCAGAGGAGCCAAUACACUUACACAUUUAGCUUGGGUGUCUUAGGCAAACAGGACACAGAUGGACAACGCACACACAUACUGAGGAACUUCAAACCUGAAGACAUAAGGGCAAAUAUGAC